CUAGUUAGGUCAAACUUCAUUGCCCCAAAUGCGGAUGCAAUCCUCAACAUACCAAUCAGGCGUGGGGGUGGUGAUGAUUUCUUUGCUUGGGCCUUUGAGACUGCUGGUAACUACAUAGUUAAAUCGGCGUACCGUGCUCUAAUGACUCAGAACGAGCAUCUUGCUCUAGGGGAAGGGACGGAUACCGGAGCUUCAAGAGAUGAAUCACAACUGUGGAGUGCUCUAUGGAAACUCAAAGUUAUCCCAAAGGUUCAUGUGUUUUGGUGGCAUGUACUUUGA
rnacentral:rRNA from 1 species